GCUGUAUCCUUAAAGGACAUCCCCUGUUGUAAGGUAUUGACAGCUUGGGUGCCACCACCAUCCGUGGAUCCGGCACGCAUCCUGACAAUACUGGGCAAGCAGAACCCCAACCUCAAAACGGACAACUGGCGUCUUGUCAGUUCAAACGCUGAGGGAGGGGGCCUGGUCAUCAAAGUAUCUAUGGAUACGGAUGGCCAGGUAUACCUUCAAGCUCGUGGGGAAAUUGCAUUUCGGCGCUGGAUGGAUCCGUUUCCGUCUAACGCCGUUGCAUUAGGUGGAAGAAAACAGCGGCUACUUAGCAUCAUGCAGAUUAAUCUGCAUCACUGCAAAGCAGCUGCUGCCGAACUCCUCCUAUCCCUCUCGAAAGCUGAAGUAGACAUAGCUCUGGUUCAGGAACCCUAUAUAUACAAUAAUAGGGUAAAUCUUAUCUUCCUUAGCAACUACAGUGGAGACGUUACGGUAGCGAGAUUGGAGUCUAAAUCCGGGAGGGCUCACAUUUUCAUCUCUCUCUAUCUACCGCACUUGCGACCUGACCCACCUGGCCAUGAAGUAGAGGGGCUGCUCGAAGAUCUGGCUGACAAAGGGCAUAUAAUCAUAGGUUGUGAUGCCAACGCACACCACUUCCAAUGGGGCAGCAACGAUACCAACGUCAGAGCAAAAUACUUGUAAUGAAAAAUGAUCCGGCCAUAGUCCAUAGUAAACAGCAUUAGCGAACAUUCCAAACAACCAACUUGGUAGCAUAUGGGACACUGUAUACCAGUUUUUCCUGAGUAUGGGUGGCGAUCCACCAGUGGUUGUAGUCUACAGGACGAUGUAUAUAAACCGGGGUGUUAAGAGCGGAAAUCUUGGGGAAGAGAUUGACAAACUACAAGCUAAUAUGUCGAUAAAAUCACUGAAAAAUACUUUAAAUCGCAAACAAUUAAUGACUGCCUAAUGGUGGAUGGGAAGUAUCCUCGCCUGGUUUGAUGAAGCUAUAUAAUAUAAUAAUAUUCCUAAUAUGGUUGGAACUAAUGCUAAUUUUAAAAUGUAAAAAAAAUAGAAAACAAAAGCAUUGAAAUAAAUUGUUUGUACUUUUUUCCUCUAUUGCCAACCAGUA